AGGUUUUGGGCCACCUCUCUCAUCGAUGGCGACGAUGACCAGCGCGAUUCUUGUCCCUCCCGCGCGCUGCUGCUCCAGGUACUCCCCCCAAUCGAGUAGAUUACUCCCUCGCGACGCGAUUUGGAGCGUCAGCUCCCGGGAUUUCGCGCUGCGACGGGAUGUCUCGGCUCGGGCAUGGUGGUCUUCGAAGAAGAAGGAUCAAGAACAGGCGGAGGUGACCGCUGCUACCUCAGAGACGGAGGUUUCGAAAGGAAGUGGGAGGAAGAAUGCUGGGAAGAAUGCGGUGGCAGCAGCGCCGGUUGUGAAAGAAGAGGUGGAAGAGGUGGAGAUGAGCUGGGUGGAGGAGAAGACCGGGGAGCUUGUCCAGAUGACCGGGAAUGCCAUUCAAGCGAUUCCAGGGCCCAGGGUGGGACAGAGCUCCGUUCCAUGGCUGCUGGUUUUGCCCGUGGCGUAUUUCAGCGUGACUUUCGUGAUCGCUGUGUACAGGACUGUGAAGAAGUAUAGCUCUCCAAAGGCGAAGAAGAGAAGGAUGAUUGGAAAGAAUGCCUUUUUGGUGACUUCCUUGGACAAGUAUUUUCCACAGCGCCGUGAAGAAUUUGACAGCAAAGUGCUCAAAGAGCUGGAAAGGAAGUGCUCUUUUGACUCAAAAGAAGUGCUCCGGAAGUAUAUUCGAUACGCCAUGAACGAGCGAGCUUUCACGCCGGAGACUGUCGCAGAUCUUAUCCAUCUCCGAAGGAUCACCAAGCUGACCGACAAUGAGAUUGCCGACGUCUUGAACGAAACCUCGAGGCGCGUGGUGAAUGAGAAUGGAACCGUGAUGAUGGAUUUACGGGGACUCACGGAGAGGGGUGUCAAGCGGAAGGCUGCUGUUCGUUCUCUCUUUAGCAAGCUCCUAUACUUAUCUGAGUUGGACGAGUUCUGUUCGACGUCAAGAGACGCUCUGAAAAUCAAAGAGCUUUUUGGAGUCACAGACGAGGAUGCAAACAGCCUGCGCAUUGAGACCCUGACCCAGCUUUCGGAUAUUGAUUCACUAGACAAGAUGGUGAAUCCAGAAGACACGGCUAUGGAUGAAGGCACACCAGAUUCAAAGGCGUCGUGACCCAUGCCUUCUCGGGGUAACUUUCCACAGUUUUGGUAGCAAUCAUGUAUCCGGGAAUCUCGUCUUUUCCGUGUAGUAUACUGUAAGUGUGAUUUGAGUUUCAGGUCGUGCGCUUGGACUUUUUUCGUUCUGACCAUAUGAAUUAUUUGUAAACGCUGUGCCAAUGUUUCAGGCUCGCGAUAUCCUUCAAAAGUUCAAGAGAACAUUUUCGAGCUUGCGAAGCCAUCAACGAUUUCAAGCCCGCAAAGAAACCAUCGCUUGUUUUCUCGAUUGCUCUAGCAGCUCCAUUGUAGCGCAUGAGUGAUGCGAGAGAUGGUGUCACUUAUUGAAAGCUCUUGGGCUCCAAAUCACCUGGAGACAUCAACUUUGGAAUCAAAGUUCGAAAGUGAUGGAGAAAAUAUUCAUUCCACCGAACCGGAAGAUUUUGAAGGACAUUUUUCACCAACCUUGGUGUUGAUCCUUUGAUAAAAAUCGAAUCUUCUUCUGGUCAAAAAGUACGUACGUAAGCAAGCACCAAGAUCUUUCGCUCUAUAGGAAGAUCAGGGCGAGUCCCAACUGGACAGUAUGGGAACUUCUUAUCCUUAUCCUCCUCAAGGCUAUCCUCCUCCAGUGGCGCCCCCGCCGCAAUACUAUUACCAGGGGCCUUCUCACCGCGAGAAAGGAUUUGCAGAAGGAUGUUUAGCUGGUCUGUGCUGCUGCUGGCUGCUAGAGAUUUGUUGCUGCUGUGGCCCGCAUAUGUUUCUGGGCUGUUAGUAUCAGUACUUUCUUAGUCUAUGAUAAUCAUAUAUUGACACCAUGUAUCUAUCAGUGCCUGAAACAUUUGCAAUUAUAUGUGUUCUGA